rnacentral:rRNA from 1 species
GACGAACGCUGGCGGCGUGCCUAAUACAUGCAAGUCGAGCGAAGCGGCGGAUGGGUGAGUAACGCGUGGGUAACCUGCCAUUCAGUCUGGGAUACCAUUUGGAAACAGAUGCUAAUACCGGAUACUACAGGAUGGACCUGCGGUGCAUUAGCUAGUUUGGAAGGUAACGGCUUACCAAGGCGAUGAUGCAUAGCCUGUGUGAGAUACUGAUCGGCCACAUUGGGACUGAGACACGGCCCAAACUCCUACGGGAGGCAGCAGUAGGGAAUCUUCCACAAUGGACGAAAGUCUGAUGGAGCAACGCCGCGUGAUUGAAGAAGGUUUUCGGAUCGUAAAGCGCUGUUGUUGGUGAAGCGGUAAUCAACCAGAAAGUCACGGCUAACUACGUGCCAGCCGCCGCGGUAAUAC